GACGAACGCUGGCGGCGUGCUUAACACAUGCAAGUCGAACGGUGACCCUCGGAGCUUGCUUCGGGGGUGAGCAGUGGCGAACGGGUGAGUAACACGUGAGUAACCUGCCCCUGACUCUGGAAUAAGCGCUGGAAACGGCGUCUAAUACCGGAUACGACACGCCUCCGCAUGGGGAGCGUGUGGAAAGUUUUUCGGUCUGGGAUGGACUCGCGGCCUAUCAGCUUGUUGGUGAGGUAAUGGCUCACCAAGGCGAUGACGGGUAGCCGGCCUGAGAGGGCGAGCGGCCACACUGGGACUGAGACACGGCCCAGACUCCUACGGGAGGCAGCAGUGGGGAAUAUUGCACAAUGGGCGAAAGCCUGAUGCAGCGACGCCGCGUGAGGGAUGACGGCCUUCGGGUUGUAAACCUCUUUCAGCAGGGAAGAAGCGAAAGUGACGGUACCUGUAGAAGAAGCACCGGCUAACUACGUGCCAGCAGCCGCCGUAAAAC
rnacentral:rRNA from 1 species